UACGUAGGGGGCAAGCGUUGUCCGGAUUUAUUGGGCGUAAAGAGCGUGUAGGCGGCCAGACAGGUCCGUUGUGAAAACUCGAGGCUCAACCUCGAGAUGUCGAUGGAAACCGUCUGGCUAGAGUCCGGAAGAGGAGUGUGGAAUUCCUGGUGUAGCGGUGAAAUGCGCAGAUAUCAGGAGGAACACCGAUGGCGAAGGCAGGUCUCUGGGCAUUAACUGACGCUGAGGAGCGAAAGCAUGGGGAGCGAACAGG
rnacentral:rRNA from 1 species